GGAAUUGUACCUGAAUGUUUAAGGACCACCUUGAUAGCGUGGCUGAUAGGGGUUCAAGUCCC
rnacentral:tRNA from 1 species